CUGGGCUGUCAACCUGGUCUAAUUCUCUGACACCCCCUUCUUGAACAGGAAUGCCUCCUCUGAAGGCCACAGCGCUGCGCCGAAAGGAGGAGUACACCCAGGUGUUGUCAUGGCUCUGGUUUGUUGCACUGUCACCUCGGCUCUCAGCACAAGCAAAACUUCUGCAGAACUUCAUCUCACUCGACACACAGCUUUGUGAAGGACCAGAUUUACUUCCUUGCUGACAUCCACUGUGGCAGCAGCAACAGCGAUGGGGAAGACAAAAUUAUCAUCAUCCACCCGUGACUUUUCAGUGGAAGAUUCUGGCUGGAAGUGUGUGUGGAAGAAUCCAGCAAGUGGCCUCUGGUGAGAUUAAUUCCCCCCCUCCUCCUUCCCCAUCUGGGCUUCCAGUUGAGACCCAAAUCCAAAUUAUAGUGACUAUAAAGUGUGUUUUCUGUAUUUUAUCUUCAGUUUUACAGAUAGUGCUGUGGUUUAACAACAAGUUGUGAGCUAGAAUAUAAAUAUUGGCUUUUUCCUCCUGGAACACAUGCACUUUGAUAGAGUAACUUGGUUUUAUAAGAUUGUAGUUUGACAUAUUCUUUCAAAAAGGAGUGAACUGAUGGAGUGAUUCCCUCUCUCCCAUGUAGGAAGGCCUCACGGUGCCAGGUCUGGGUUGGACAAUGUGCUGCAGUGAGCAGCUUCCCACCACGGGCAUGGCUGGAGGGAAAGGCCUUACCUCGGUAGGAAAAAACCUAAAGACCAUAUACCAAGGUUAGUAAAGGAAGAAAGCACACAUUAGUCCUCCAGUCUUGUUUUACCAGGAGUUUAGCCAGGACAGGAGCAGGAAGCAGCCAAACAAGUAUGAAACACCCUAAGAGCAUUUCCUAAUCAAAAUAUUUAGGAUUUAGGAAAAAAAAUAAUUGCAAGAAUUGUUACCAAGCAACUCUCCAAACUGUUUGUUGGGUGCAGUUAGCAGAAAGAUAUCCUUUGGAGUUCUGCUUUGGGGUAUUGGGAAGACUGAACUGAAGGCAUGUGAGUUUCUUGGCAGGGAAAUUUCCUGGGGUAUUUACAAACCCAUUUAAUUUUUGAGUCUAUCUAUUUGCAUAUUUUUUUAGUGUUGGUGCUGUUGGUGCUACUCAAGGCAUUGCAUUGUCUCUUCACUUGCAGAAUAACAUUGCAGAAAAUGAGGUAAGCUACGCCCCAAAAACUUAUUAACAAUCUUAAAAAUUGCAGAUUUUCCCAUUCACUGUGAUUCAUCUACCUGAAAUGGAUAAAGCAAUGAGUCAAGGUGGGAGGUUUAAAAUGUAAUUUUUGCAUUUUAAUGCAAAAAUUACUUUUUCCAAUGUAAACUUGGAAUGAUAAUCCUGACUGACAGAAAUCAGGGGAAUGAAUCCAGUGUUUUUUCUCCUUUUCUUUUUUAAAAUAGCCAGUCAUUGAUGGUGGCGGUGAAUUCAUAAUUCCCAGGCUUUUUUUUUACCUCCCAUUAAAAAAAAAUGACCAAUCUUAUUUUAGAUAUGUUCUAACAUCAAAUAUUUUGGUUACUUCCAUCCUGAUUCUCUCAGUCUAAAAAUGAGAAGAACAUUGUGCUUCCAACAUAGCUGAUAUUAGCUCAGUCUUGGUUUUGCUGGUGGAACUCUUGAGGAGAGUCUUGGAGCCAUUUUUCACCUGUUCUGGGGCCCUGCUUUGGGUUUUUAUGCAGGCAAUUUUUAUUAUCAAAGUUAAGGAAAACACAUUGUUUAACAAACUGUGACAGACUUACUUUUUCCUGAUCUCUGAAAUACAAAUUUGAACAGCACAAAUGUGUCCCUCGUUGCCUUUACCCAGGGCUGACUGACAGUAAGGUUAAUGCAAGGUAAGUGAAGGCAAAUGUAACUGAUCCCAAAUUUCAGCCGUCUGUUGUUUCUGCAGCACUUUGGAAAUUUGUAUCUAUCUAGAUUUAUUUAUUUAUACAAAAUAAAAAUUGUGAACUCUGCCUCA
rnacentral:lncRNA from 1 species